AUGGGUUUCAUGAAUCACCAUAUCCAGAUAUUCGUCGACAUAGCUUGUUGCCAGAUAAUCUUCAGUUACCAUAUAACUGGAAUUAACCCAUGCAAGUCGAAGAAGGAUUGGUCGGUGCUGCCGGCUGGCGUCAAGUUCGAUCCCACGGAUCAGGAGCUGAUCGAGCACCUUGAGGCCAAAACCCAUCCUGAGAAACUUCCAGGUAUCACACUGAGUUGCCUAAGCAAACAUUUCUUCCAGCGCAAUUCCAGGGCAUUCAAAAGGGGCACGUGGACGCGUCGCCAGAUACAGUCGGAGUGCGGCAUGCACGUGAUGUGGCACAACACCGGCAAUACCUUGCCGGUGAUGGUCAAUGGCCGACAGACGGGCAACAAAAAGGUUCUGGUGCUGCACACCAACAAGAACUUCGACCAGUAUAGGACCAACUGGGUGAUGCACCAGUACCACCUCGGGGACCUGGAGCAAGAGAAGGAGCGGGAGGUGGUCCUCUGCAAGAUUUUCUACCAGACGAACACUAGGGCCAGGAGUAAAAAGAUUAUAAGUUAG
rnacentral:rRNA from 1 species